CAUGCGUCAGUGCUGGUUCUUGGCCAAGAUCUAUUGUUUCACUGGCGGGACACUGGAGUCAAGCUGUUCGGUUUAGCUAAGUCCCAAUGUGUCGAGAGAGAAAAAGGGAUGCAGUUGUUUGUCGCCUCAUUGAGUACCUUGGGGAACAUCAAGAAGAUCUCAUCCAAGAUUGCUAGGAUGAAAAUGAGGACAACAUGGACUAAACCAUGAAGGUGCUUGUGAUCCAUAAUCCUGCAGCCAAGGAUCAUACAACAUGUGUUGAUUGCGAUGGAGGGAAACAAAGUGCUGAACGUGUGUGGAAACCGAACCAAGGCACAGACUGUUUCCUGGGAACUUACUGUUGGUGCUGAAGAAUGCUCACUGUACAAUGCAAUCAGACAAUUUCAUCUCCCAAAGAGCAGUGUCACAUUGAAAUUCACUACAUUCAAAUAAUGCAUAUCAUCUCAUGGAUCAAUGUUAUUCAAAAGAUACAUAUUGGUUGAGCAAGGACUGAACUCAGUGUGAUUCUGACUGGUACUAGGCUGUCAAUUCAUUUAACCAAAGGGACACAGUGUUGAGAUGUGGAAAAUGCUGUUUUUUGUUCAGGCACAGACUGACUGGUUAUCUUCAACAAUCCCAUAAGGCUUUGCAAAUAUCUGCAUAUGUUC